UACGAAGGGGGCUAGCGUUGCUCGGAAUCACUGGGCGUAAAGCGCACGUAGGCGGCUCUUUAAGUCAGGGGUGAAAUCCUGGAGCUCAACUCCAGAACUGCCUUUGAUACUGGGGAUCUCGAGUCCGGGAGAGGUGAGUGGAACUGCGAGUGUAGAGGUGAAAUUCGUAGAUAUUCGCAAGAACACCGGUGGCGAAGGCGGCGACCUGGGUAGAUACUGACGCUGAGGAGCGAAAGCGUGGGGAGCAAACAGG
rnacentral:rRNA from 1 species